GGGGAACCAGGAGACAGGUUGCUGCAUGGCUGUCGUCAGCUCGCGUCGUGAGAUGUUGGGUUAAGUCCCGCAACGAGCGCAACCCUUAUCUUUAAUUGCCAGCAUUCAGUUUGGGCACUUUAAAGAGACUGCCGGUGUUAAACCGGAGGAAGGUGGGGAUGACGUCAAGUCAGCAUGGCCUUUAUGUCCUGGGCUACACACACGCUACAAUGGCCAACACAAUAGGUUGCUAAGCCGCGAGGUGGAGCCAAUCCUCAAAGUUGGUCUCAGUUCAGAUUGCAGGCUGCAACCCGCCUGCAUGAAGAUGGAGUUGCUAGUAACCGCAGGUCAGCUAUACUGCGGUGAAUACCGGUUCCCGGGCUU
rnacentral:rRNA from 1 species